GGCCAGAUAGCUCAGUUGGUAGAGCAACGGACUGAAAAUCCGUGUGUCGGUGGUUCACUUCUACCUCUGGCCACCA
rnacentral:tRNA from 1 species